rnacentral:rRNA from 1 species
UACGUAGGGUGCGAGCGUUAAUCGGAAUUACUGGGCGUAAAGUGUGCGCAGGCGACUUCGCAAGUCGAGUGUGAAAUCCCCGAGCUUAACUUGGGAAUUGCGCUCGAAACUACGGAGCUGGAGUGUGGCAGAGGAAGGUGGAAUUCCACGUGUAGCGGUGAAAUGCGUAGAGAUGUGGAGGAACACCGAUGGCGAAGGCAGCCUUCUGGGCCAACACUGACGCUCAUGCACGAAAGCGUGGGGAGCAAACAGG